GUGCAGGCCGUUCAGCGAGGCUGGGCCUGCUCUGUGGCCCGUGUCCUUUCCUGUGGUGUCUGCUAGAGAGACCGGGGCGGUUUGAGGCUUUGCUGUCAGUCUCCGCGGCAAGGUUAUAUAAACCUCGGACAACG